AAACCCCGAAAGGGGUUAGUAGAGUGGCAAACGGGUGAGUAACGCGUGGGUGACCUGCCUUCGAGCGGGGGAUAACGUUCCGAAAGGGACGCUAAUACCGCAUAACAUCCUGCCUUUGAACAGGUGGAGAUCAAAGCUGGGGAUCGCAAGACCCGGCACUUGAAGAGGGGCCCGCGUCUGAUUAGCUAGUUGGUGAGGUAACGGCUCACCAAGGCGACGAUCAGUAUCCGGCCUGAGAGGGCGGACGGACACACUGGGACUGAGACACGGCCCAGACUCCUACGGGAGGCAGCAGUGGGGAAUUGUUCGCAAUGGGCGCAAGCCUGACGACGCAACGCCGCGUGGAGGAUGAAGAUUUUCGGAUCGUAAACUCCUGUCGAAUGGGACGAAUAGGUCACGGCUUAACAUUCCGUGAUCCUGACGGUACCGUUAAAGGAAACCCCGGCUAACUCCGUGCCAGCAGCCGCGGUAAUACGGGGGGGGUAAGCGUUGUUCGGAAUUACUGGGCGUAAAGGGCUCGUAGGCGGCCAACUAAGUCAGACGUGAAAUCCCUCAGCUUAACUGGGGAACUGCGUCUGAUACUGGAUGGCUUGGAUUCGGGAGAGGAAUGCGGAAUUCCAGGUGUAGCGGUGAAAUGCGUAGAUAUCUGGAGGA
rnacentral:rRNA from 1 species